rnacentral:lncRNA from 1 species
UCCUGUCUCAGCCUCCCGAGCUGCUGGGAUUACAGACGUGUGCCAUGGUGUCUGUCAGUUUUGUACGAUUAGAAUGCGUGCACAAGCUUUCAAAAUUGAGGCUGGUGCUCAGUCUUUCUGACACCAGUAACCUGGACCGAGCCCUUCCAAUGGGCAGUGGACUCAGUGUGGAUUUCCCCUUAAAAUUCAAGAGGCACUUACCAUAGUCAUCCUGAGGUGUUGGC